rnacentral:rRNA from 1 species
UACAGAGGUGGCAAGCGUUGUUCGGAAUUACUGGGCGUAAAGGGCGCGUAGGCGGCCAUCUAAGUCAGACGUGAAAUCCCCCGGCUUAACCUGGGAACUGCGUCCGAUACUGGAUGGCUUGAGUUCGGGAGAGGGAUGCGGAAUUCCAGGUGUAGCGGUGAAAUGCGUAGAUAUCUGGAGGAACACCGGUGGCGAAGGCGGCAUCCUGGACCGACACUGGCGCUGAGGAGCGAAAGCCAGGGGAGCAAACGGG